GCCAGACUCCUACGGGAGGCAGCAGUGAGGAAUAUUGGUCAAUGGGCGUAAGCCUGAACCAGCCAAGUCGCGUGAGGGACGACGGCCCUACGGGUUGUAAACCUCUUUUGCCGGGGGACAAACGGCGGCACGCGUGCCGUCCUGAGGGUACCCGGAGAAAAAGCAUCGGCUAACUCCGUGCCAGCAGCCGCGGUAAUACGGAGGAUGCGAGCGUUAUCCGGAUUUAUUGGGUUUAAAGGGUGCGCAGGCGGAGGUGCAAGUCAGCGGUCAAAUUGCGGGGCUCAACCCCGUACUGCCGUUGAAACUGGCGUUCUUGAGUGGGCGAGAAGUAUGCGGAAUGCGUGGUGUAGCGGUGAAAUGCAUAGAUAUCACGCAGAACUCCGAUUGCGAAGGCAGCAUACCGGCGCCCAACUGACGCUGAAGCACGAAAGCGUGGGUAUCGAACAGGAUUAGAUACCCCCGUA
rnacentral:rRNA from 1 species